UCAAAAACGUCAACACUAUUCACUUUCGCAGCAUAAUUUUUCUCUGCAUUCCAUAAGUAAUUUUAACUUGAAAAUUCAAGGCUGAAUAUACUUGCAUACAUAUCAGAACUAAAAAGUUAAUUUGGUGGUACCAGGACGAUUCUGGAUUAAUUUUGUAGUAUAAAAUUUGGACAAGUGUAGUGAGAGAUAUAGUUAUACUGAUAGGUGCAACAAAAACAUAACUGUUGCAGCAGCACCAGCCAUUCUAUUUAGGCGGUACCAACAUUACAAUGGCCUACCUUCAACAUAAUGGCGACCUGAUAAAUUUGAAUGUUGGAGGACAGCGAUUUUCUACAUCACGUCAAACGCUGACGUGGAUACCAGAUACAUUUUUCACAGCGCUGCUAAGUGGACGCAUAUCUAGUUUACGCGAUGAAACUGGUGCUAUAUUCAUAGAUCGUGAUCCUUCGUUGUUCUCCAUCAUUCUGAACUAUUUGCGAACCAAGGAUAUUGACAUCAAAAAUUGCGAAAUCCGAGCAUUACGACAUGAAUCGGAAUACUAUGGCAUUACUCCGCUGGUCAAGCGGUUAGCGCUUUGUGAAGACUUGAAUCAUUCAUCUUGUGGCGAUGUACUCUUUUAUGGUUAUUUGCCAGCACCAAUGAUGCCAUCAAAUGAUUCAAUUCAUACGGCAGUAACAUCGACAGGUCCAGUCGUCCUGGAAGACCGUUCUGGUGGUGUUAGCGAUUUACCUUCUUAUAGAUCUUCGAACGGCUCUUAUAAUAUACCAGCCACAUCAGGCCAGAUGGAACCUUGCUUGCCGUCAACUUCAAGUGGCGUAAUGUCCACUUCAAUUGCUAAUGCUCGUCCCGGUUCGAUGGUUCGUGUUCCAGAAACAGCAUCUACAUCGAGUAGGCAUUCGUCAUCGCAUUCACGGAACUCUUCUUGGGACUUGCGUUGCGCACGACCAAACGUCAAUGUCGGCGGGGAAGUUCGAAAUUGGGGUCCUGCAGUUCCAUCGUCUACCCACUCGCGUACCGCAUCUCUUGAUUAUAUGCGUCAUUCUAGAAAUUCAUCUGCCGACCUCAAUAAGAUAAUACGGAAUGAUGUAGGCCUAGUAUUCAGCCCAACAUUGACAUCAAACUGGGUCGAUCCACUACGUGUUCAAAUAAUUAAGGCUCAUCAAAACUGGAUUGCAGUAGCAUAUGCCCAUUUCGUAACUUGUUAUCGUGUUAAGGACUCCAGUGGGUGGCAAAUAGUGUUCACUUCGCCUCAUAUCGAUGCAACCAUCGAACGUAUGGCGGUCAACUCAAAAGUGAAUACAUCCACAGCUGAACCUACUCCGAGCAAGAUGGUAGCCAUAUCCUAUGGUAGUCAAAUACGACUUUGGAGCAUACAUGAGGGAGGCAAUAAAACCGAUGUCGGAACUUUCAAUUUAAAUGUACGAGUUGAGUAUUUAUUUUUCAUCGGCAGCCAAUUAGUUGCUUUGUCAUCGUCUGGUAAAAUCGGCGUUUGGCACGCGAUGACACAACAUUGGCAAAUUCAGGAUUUGGUUCCAGUGUUGUCUUUUGACUCGGCUGGAUCAUUUUUACUUCUUGGCUGUAACAACGGUUCAAUUUAUUAUAUAGAUAUGCAAAAGUUUCCACUUCGUAUGAAGGAUAAUGACUUAUUGGUGACUGAGCUGUAUAAGGAUCCAAACUUGGACCCAAUUACAGCAAUUUCCGUAUAUCUUACUCCAAAAACGUCCAGUAUAAGUGGAAAUUGGAUAGAGAUAGCAUAUGGAACGAAAUCGGGUGCAGUGCGUAUUAUUGUACAACACCCGGAGACUGCUGGUCACGGUCCACAUUUAUUUGAAACCUUUACUGUACAUCAAAGUCCCGUAACUAAGGUUACCCUCUCGGAGAAAUAUCUAAUAUCCGUUUGCAGUGAAUAUCAUCACGUACGCACUUGGUCCUUAACACGUUUCCGUGGCAUGCUGUCUACACAACCUGGAUCGACACCAGAGGCCUCCUUUAAAAUUGUAUCACUCGAAGCUACCGAUUCACAUUACAGUUAUGCAGCUGGCAACGAUUUUGGUCCCUACGGCGACUAUGAUGAACAGAUCUUUGUACAAAAAGUUGUACCCGAAACGGAUCAACUUUAUGUACGUUUAGCUUCAAAUGGUGAUCGUGUUUGCAUUAUAAAAUCGGUGGAUAGUUCAACUAUCACUUCUUUCUGUGUGCACGAGUGUGAAGUCUCGUCUCGUAUGGGGUCACGAUUCAUUUUGACAGGGCACUGUAAUGGUGUUAUUCAAAUGUGGGAUCUAACAACAGCGCUGGCGUUAUUUUCAAAAGGUGAACCACAGCAGAAUACCUUUGGCGGACCAGGCACACACGAGCUUCUCCGCCUACUUGACCAAUGUGAAAUCAGCAAUAGCCUCAGCUCAACACCUUGUAUGUCACCGUGUCUAUCGGUGGUUGGAGGCAUGGCAAACGCCGCAAUAGCUCGUAUGAAGGCGAGCAAUGUAGCUCUGCUUAAUCAGCUCCACAAUCAGCAUCAACAAACACCACUACAACAACAGCCCCAAGCUCAAUCACAGCAACCUACCUGCAAUUUGACUGCGCAACUUUUGCCGCUACAGCAUCAAACACAGCAACAACAACAGUCACAACAAAUACAGCCACAGCAACAGCAAUAUUCUCCUCCACUACAGCCAGUAUCGCAAGGCAUUAGUAACACCGCUGAUUGAAAUGGGGAAGACGCGUGUAUUUUGCCAGCAGUGGCUAUUGCUGUUGCACAGGUAGCGUUGGUUGGACGUGCCACAUCCUUCCUAAUGUUUAUACUAGUAAUAGACAGCAACUGGGCAACGACGUCGGAAAGGUGGAGAUACGCUAUAAAUUUGGGGCGCCUUUCCUCAAUAUUUUAAAAUGAUUAUAUUUAUAUUUUGUUGAAGUGAUUUUUAAAGGUGAUCAUUCAUAAAAUAUCCUUAGGCAAAUGCAUUCUAUUCGUUUACGAAGCUUUUGUCUGAAUAUGUAUAUCGAAAUAUACGCAUACAAUUACCAAAUUUUUAUAUAUGUUACUUUCUUACAUUUAAAUAUAAGCAUGCUCAUCAUAUACAAA
rnacentral:misc_RNA from 1 species